GCGCCCGUAGCUCAACUGGAUAGAGCAGGAGCAUCCUAAGCUCAAGGUUGGGGGUUCAAGUCCCUCCGGGCACACCA
rnacentral:tRNA from 1 species